rnacentral:rRNA from 1 species
AUUGAACGCUGGCGGCAGGCCUAACACAUGCAAGUCGAGCGGGGUUUUCGGACCUAGCGGCGGACGGGUGAGUAAUGCGUAGGAAGCUGCCCGAUAGAAGGGGAUACCAGUUGGAAACGACUGUUAAUACCGCAUAAUGUCUACGGACCAAAGUGUGGGACCUUCGGGCCACAUGCUAUCGGAUGCGCCUACGUGGGAUUAGCUAGUUGGUGAGGUAAUGGCUCACCAAGGCGACGAUCUCUAGCUGGUUUGAGAGGAUGAUCAGCCACACUGGAACUGAGACACGGUCCAGACUCCUACGGGAGUCAGCAGUGGGGAAUAUUGGACAAUGGGCGCAAGCCUGAUCCAGCCAUGCCGCGUGUGUGAAGAAGGCCUUCGGGUUGUAAAGCACUUUCAGCGAGGAGGAAGGGUGGUGUGUUAAUAGCACAUCAUUUUGACGUUACUCGCAGAAGAAGCACCGGCUAACUCUGUGCCAGCAGCCGCAGUAACAC